rnacentral:tRNA from 1 species
GGGAAUAUGGCUUAGUGGUAGAGUACUUGCCUGGCAUACAUGAAGGCCUGGGUUCGAUUCCUCAGUAUCA